rnacentral:rRNA from 1 species
AUUGAACGCUGGCGGCAGGCUUAACACAUGCAAGUCGAGCGGAGAUGAGGUGCUUGCACCUUAUCUUAGCGGCGGACGGGUGAGUAAUGCUUAGGAAUCUGCCUAUUAGUGGGGGACAACAUUCCGAAAGGAAUGCUAAUACCGCAUACGUCCUACGGGAGAAAGCAGGGGAUCUUCGGACCUUGCGCUAAUAGAUGAGCCUAAGUCGGAUUAGCUAGUUGGUGGGGUAAAGGCCUACCAAGGCGACGAUCUGUAGCGGGUCUGAGAGGAUGAUCCGCCAAACUGGGACUGAGACACGGCCCAGACUCCUACGGGAGGCAGCAGCGGGGAAUAUUGGACAAUGGGGGGAACCCUGAUCCAGCCAUGCCGCGUGUGUGAAGAAGGCCUUAUGGUUGUAAAGCACUUUAAGCGAGGAGGAGGCUACUGAGACUAAUACUCUUGGAUAGUGGACGUUACUCGCAGAAUAAGCACCGGCUAACUCUGUGCCAGCCGCCGCCGUAAUAC